rnacentral:rRNA from 1 species
UACGUAGGGCGCAAGCGUUGUCCGGAAUUAUUGGGCGUAAAGAGCUCGUAGGCGGCUUGUCAAGUCGGUUGUGAAAGCCCGGGGCUUAACCCCGGGACUGCAGUCGAUACGGGCAGGCUAGAGUGUGGUAGGGGAGAGCGGAAUUCCUGGUGUAGCGGUGAAAUGCGCAGAUAUCAGGAGGAACACCGGUGGCGAAGGCAGGUCUCUGGGCAUGAACUGACGCUGAGGAGCGAAAGCGUGGGGAGCGAACAGG